CCUACGGGAGGCAGCAGUGGGGAAUAUUGCACAAUGGGCGCAAGCCUGAUGCAGCAACGCCGCGUGAGGGACGACGGCCUUCGGGUUGUAAACCUCUUUUAGUAGGGAAGAAGCGAAAGUGACGGUACCUGCAGAAAAAGCACCGGCUAACUACGUGCCAGCAGCCGCGGUAAUACGUAGGGUGCAAGCGUUAUCCGGAAUUAUUGGGCGUAAAGAGCUCGUAGGCGGUCUGUCGCGUCUGCUGUGAAAACUGGAGGCUCAACCUCCAGCCUGCAGUGGGUACGGGCAGACUAGAGUGCGGUAGGGGAGAUCGGAAUUCCUGGUGUAGCGGUGGAAUGCGCAGAUAUCAGGAGGAACACCGAUGGCGAAGGCAGAUCUCUGGGCCGUAACUGACGCUGAGGAGCGAAAGCAUGGGGAGCGAACAGGAUUAGAUACCCUGGUAGUCCACGCCCUAAACUAUGUAUACUCGACAUAUGCGAUACACUGUAUGUGUCCAAGCGAAAGCGUUAAGUAUACCACCUGGGAAGUACGACCGCAAGGUUGAAACUCAAAUGAAUUGACGG
rnacentral:rRNA from 1 species